AGGCCCGCCAGGCCACUGUUUAGAAGGAAACUCACGCGCAGGAGGGAACAACCCUAGACAGAAUCCCCAAUCUUCUCCCUGCUGUGCUUGGCCUCACCCACGCCACCGGCGCUCGCUUGACCGAUGCCGCCGUCCGCCGUCUCAACCAGCAUGAGAUGCUUAGCUGUUUCCCCAUCUCUCCUCUCGUUGCCUCUCCUUCUUUCCUCUCAAAUCGCUCAGCGCACUGGUUGUUUGCCGCUCGUCACCUGUAGGUUGCCGUGCCACCGUCUCGCGCUCGCCUCCCUGAUGCCGCGGUCCAUCCUCUCCACCAACGCUCGAUUCGCCAUCUCUCCUCACCUUGCCUCACCUCAUUUCCUCCAUCACUAUGUGGUGCGGCCGCAACCUGUAGGUCGAUGCCGCUGCCGCAAAUCCUCCCAUACCAUUGUCUGCACGUUCGACUGUUCCUCGGCCGGAUUUUUUUUUUGAAGAGGAUCCAAUAGCAGGCAGGUUCUGGACAAUACAAGAAGGGCAGAUUUGUUCAUGUCUUCCUGUUAUUUCUCUUUAAUUUUAUUCCUUUUUCUAUAUGUUUGAUGCUUGUUAACCUAGGUAGCGGGUACUGGAAAAUCCAUCCCCUUCCAUAUGGAUUUUUGUUGUCCUGUUUUGAUCCAGGUUGGUUGGAGCCUCCGCGAUGGUUAGGAUUCCUGGUUGCAUGGCUUGGAGGAAACUUUUCUCCUGCGUAGCAAGGUCCAACAUGAAAGGAGCCCUGGCAGUUCUCCAAAAUUGAAAUGGUGUUCAAUGAAGCGACAAUCAUAAUGUCAUUCCACAAAUCAUACUAACAGAUCACGACAUUGUGAAGGGUUAUUUUCUAAUCUUCUCAGCCUACUGAUCACUUAUUUUUAAGGCUAUGAUUUCUUAAAAAACAUAUAUGCUGCGGUUCCUUUUUAGAGCAUAUACACUCUUUUUGUUGGAGUAUAUUCGUGUAACUCCAGUUUGCAUCCAUGUCAUAAUACUCGAUGGAAUGAAUGCUGCAAUGAUCUAAAACAUCUCUGCUAUUAAUUA